rnacentral:lncRNA from 1 species
GAUGGUUCAACCAAACAGUCCACUUUUGUGUAAUUCUAGCGAGAAAGAAGACACUGACGAUCCAGUAAAUAGAUCAGGAUCAACUCAGUCAAAACCUGAUCGUUACGUCUUUUCAAGAGAUAAUCCACUGCAGUCUUGCCAGUAACUAGUUACAUCGGUUUCCAUUUCCAAAACGGCAAAACCUUAAUCACACGCAAAAUCUACAAGCUGAAACCUAACCCAGCCGGUCACUAGUUCAUAAAUUUGUCACACACAUAGGGGUCCUGCUGGUUAACAUGGAAGCCACGACUCUGCGCAAAAAUGGGGCGGGUAGAUCCCAGAAUCAUCUCCAUUCCCCACGAACUGGCAUUUCUGUGCAUGGAAGUAAACGAAAACCAAAUCAUUUCCAGAUGCCGAUCUAUAUAAAAACGCAAGUUCACAUGUUAGCAAAACCUGAGGAUGACAUAAGAAAGAAAGGUGAUCAUCAAAUAGCCACACGUGAUGAAAGUUGAAAAGUGUCGGGCACAGGUGUCAGCAAGAUGCAAAGCUCCCAGGAAGCCCGUGAUGGAAGUCAGUGGAUUGUGACUUUGUGAGGCAGGCUAAGCUCAAGCCAUGCAACUUGCACAUUUGCUCACAGGCUCCAGAAAGCAGGCUAUUUCUUUCUUGAUACUCCCAGCAAACCCGCCAAGGCAAAUAAGCAAGACAUGGUCAAUUUCAAGUGGUUGAAAGUUUCCAGUAACAGCUGUGCGUCGCAAGGUGCAUGAAACAUCUACAACCAUGGAGUAUAUUCUUAUUAUUUUGAUUUUCAGAAGAGUGGAUAUAUGAAAUAUGAAACGACCCAAAUAACACAAGGUUCUUUACCUGUGGUCAACGAGAAAAAAUGUUUAAUGUCUCACACAUUAUUAGAUUGCUCAAGGAUCAGAAAGUAAUGAUAGUGGUGACUGGCCUUUAUUAUUUCCAAAAAAUGGUCCCAGGCAUAUUGAAUAGACCUAUCUACUGACCAGAAGUAUACAACAUAACUCCUAACAUGCAGAGCAUGGGAAAGGAUGCUAAGAGCUGUAACAGCAUUUAAGCUCACUUCAUGUUGUUACUUCGACAGCAUCACAAAAUAAAAGCAAAUGGAAACAUUUCUGGUUAGCUAAGCAGCCAAAGAGAAGUAUUAUUAAAUCCCCUAUUCUCAUAGUGUAAACUAAUCUUUGCGGCGGGGCAAGAUUUUAAUUUUCCAAUUAGCCCAGGACCCUUGCGAGAAAUUAAUCAUAACAAUGCUUUAUCUUCAACUAGAAUGUUAUAUCCAGUUUUUCAUUUCAGAGGCCAGUAAAAUGCUUCCAAUUAACUUCACGGCAAGAUUAGUACUCCCUCUGUUCCGAAUUAAAUGAUGCAAUCCCUAUACAAUUUUAGUAAGACAUUGUAUAGAGGUUGAGUCAAUUAAUUGGAUCGGAGGGAGUAGCAUAUAUCAUGACUUUACGCAGGCAGCAAAGCGUAUUCUUUUUACGGACUAAAGUUUCACUUCACUACUAUGGAGUCCCGCCCUACAGACAAAGUUAAUGGGUGAAUUACAGAAAAUGAUAUUUCAUCAUAUGAACUUCCAAAUUUUUAACUUCUAAUUGAUUAUGCCUAUAAUUCUGCAAUUUGUCUGUCAAAUCUAAAAAGAAAUACUUCCCAAAGGACUGCAAACAUCGUCUCCUAAACCCUGACCACACUCGGUAAUGGUACACCAAAACAGUUACAGCCCUUAAUAGCGAACCUACCAUAACCAUGAACAGUGAACUCAGACCACUUGUUUGCUUAUUUUCAGGUAGAAACAAAAAAGAACAAAUAAAAGGUCACUAUCUUUUAAUGGCCACAUCAAGGAUCUCACUUCCGUUCCUUCCUCCAUCCUCUUCUUUCUUGGAGCCAAGCCAAACUCUUAUUUAUUCUGACAACCAAUACUUCAACACAGAAUAGUACCAUCCAUGAAGGUUCAAAGGCAUGCCAAGAUUAAAAUCCUCUUCAAUAAUCCAAAUAGCCUGUAGGAACUGGGAUCGACAGUAAGAUACGCCCUGCUUCUUCAUAGAUACUACAAUGGAUAAUAUUAGCAACAUCUUCCACAAUGACCUGCUCCCAUCUCUAGGAGCAAGAGCAAACCAAUCUAUCAAGUUGAGAAAAUUCAUCAUUUCUCCCUACGAUUCCCGUUACAGGUAAAAUCGCAAUCUUUACUUUCUCUCGCAUUAUGUGUACACAAAUACAGUCUAAUCUUCCACUCUUGUGGGUCUGCAGGAUCUGGGAAACGUUCUUGCUUGUGCUCGUUGUUUAUUCAGCAUGGAUCUACCCGUUUGAGCUAGCAUUUCUGAGACAUCUCUCGUGGAAGCUUUUCCUAGUUGAGAACAUUGUCAACAGCUUCUUCGCAAUUGAUAUUAUUCUCACCUUUUUUCUAGCGUAUCUCGAUCACAAGUCUUAUCUUCUAGUGGAUAAUCCAAAAAGGAUUGCAGCUAGGUUGGUACUUGCACCUCAACUAUUCUCAGCCUGUCAUUCUUAAUGGUAAAGCACAUGUGCAAAGCUACCAAUUUGGACAACACUGACAUGAGGCUGUACACAGAUAUCUCUCUUCCUGGUUCAUUCUUGACGUCUGUUCCACGAUUCCAUAUCAACCGUUUGGGCUACUCUUUAACAAGCAUGGAAAUGGCCUUGCCUAUAGGACACUUAACAUGCUUCGAUUAUGGCGUCUCCGACGCCUCAGUGCUUUAUUUGCCAGGUAUGUGUCUUUUUAUUAUUUGAAACUUGAAAAUAAGAGAACUGAAAAUUACUAAGGUAAAUCGCCCCCUCUAGGCUUGAAAAGGAUAUCCGAUUGAACUACUACUGGAUAAGGUGCACCAAACUAAUUUCUGUAAGUUUGCGUCCUCUCCUCUCCAAGUAUGAAACAAAUUGAUGUAUUACUGCCCUGAUGAAUGAAACAUAGCUCUGCAUGUUUGACUGAGCAUUGCAGGUUACUCUUUUUGCAAUACAUUGUUCAGGAUGUUUCAUUUACUUAAUAGCUGAUACAUACCCCGAUCCAUCAAGAACCUGGAUAGGAGCAGCAAUACCAAACUACAGAUCAGAGAGUCUAUGGGUUCGAUAUGUGACAGCAAUUUAUUGGUCUAUUACAACACUCACAACAACUGGUUAUGGCGAUUUACAUGCGGAGAAUCCAAGAGAAAUGUCAUUUUGCAUAUGUUUCAUGCUAUUUAACCUGGGAUUGACGGCAUACCUCAUUGGUAACAUGACAAACCUGGUUGUCCAGGGAAGUUGCCGUACCAGGAACUUUGUACGUACUCUUCCAAAUACCUUUCAUGAUUUGUUUUGUCAUUCUGUGAUUGUUGAUAUUCCUGCCUGGCUUUACAUAAGGAUUGAAAUAAGAAACGGAAAUGGAAGUAAGAAUCAUGUGAACUUGUCUGUACCGUAAUACAUAUGCACCUUAUAGAUUGUAGGCCAGGAUAGGCUGAAAAACAAAUCACAGCAUGCUUAUAGAUAUGCCACUAGCAUGUCCUGGCUCUGGACUCCUAAUGGCUUAAGGUGCAUGUUCAUAUACACAUGAAAACUCUGGCUAAUUAAAUGCAUGUAGAUAUACCUGAAUGUGUACGGCCACACGUGUUCACAUGCAUAGAAGCAAGAGCUUUAUUUCAAGAGUGUCAUAUACUGUUUUAUUCCACCUAAUCUUCCUGUCUUCAACUCUGCAGAGAGAUACCAUCCAUGCUGCCUCUCGGUUUGCUGCAAGGAAUCAGUUACCUGAACAAAUUAGGGAUGAAAUGCUAGCUCAUAUCUGCCUGAGGUAUAAGACAGAAGGGCUGAAACAGAAGGAAACAUUGGAUAGUCUCCCCAAGGCAAUUCGUUCAAGCAUAGCGUGCCAUUUAUUCCUCCCUGUCCUAGAAAAAAUAUAUCUUUUCGAUGGUGUUUCCUUUACUUGCAGGCUCCAAUUGGUAUGAAUACAAAAAUGUUAAUUAUUCUAGAGCAAGUGUAAAAUAGUGUACACUGGAAUAUCAUCGACAUUUAGAAGGUAAUAUGUUAUCGCCUACAUGUAGGUUACCACAAUGGAAGCAGAGUACUACCCACCAAGAGAAACUAUCAUACUCCAGAAUGAAACGCCUACAGAUGUUUACAUAUUAGUUUCAGGAGCAGUGGUUAGUCCAACUAUAAGAUUGAUGAUUGUCAAGAUACUGCAGUUUCUUACAACCAUGCAUACUAGUGUAACUUUUGCUAUUUUGUUUGGCAGGAAGAACGGAUAAUGAUUGAUGGACGAGAAAAGGUAAGAGAUGACACAUGAUCAUAUAUUUUAAAGGAUACAAGUUAAUGCAGAAUCUGAUAUGUAUCAUUACAAAAUCCAGGUUGAGAAACUACUAUCAGGUGGUGACAUAUUUGGUGAAAUAGGAGUUCUCUGCAACAUUCCCCAGCCACUUACAUUCCGCACGUCCAGAAUUUCACAACUAUUAAGGCUUAACACAACAGUGCUCAAAAACAUUAUUCAGGAAAACAAACACGACAAGGAAAUUAUAAUGAACAAUCUUUACCAGGUGAGUCACAGCUUUUUUAUCAUUAUGACAUCGUGUUUAGAUAACUGAGUUGUUUAUAUACAACGAAAUUAGUAUUCUUGUGCAUUUGGCAGAAAAUGAACUCAGAUCAAAGGUUCUCUACUGACACGAUGGAGGUAUGUGAAGAGACGCUCGAUCAACACUUUGGGGAGUACAACGGAUGUUUUGCAUCCAAUCAGGUCAACAUAAACAAUGAAUCAAAAGCGGGAGAAACAAUAAGACUGGCUUGCAGUGAAGAACAUUGUAAAGAACUAAAUGAAUCAGACAGACAUGGAACAAUUCACAGUACUACGGAACAGGGUUUCUUUAAUACAAACAUUGAUUUUCCUGAUAAAGGUGAAAGUAUGGAAAAUCAUGUUGCUACAAGUCAGAUUACGGACAAACGGAAGGCAGAUGAGCAUGAACAUACAUCGACCGACAACUGCAUGACAGGAUAUAGAGGGGCUCGAGAUAGGUUCAAAAUCAUAUGCAAAAACACAAUAUUAGGGCAGACAAAAAUCACAGAUAAAAUGCUUACAUGCUCAGUUGCUGGAGAACUCCAGGAGAUCACUGAUACAUGCACAGAAGCUGGUUCUGUGGUUUCAGAAAGAAAAAGAGUGACAAUUCAUAUGCAUCCACAACAGAACAAAAGCUUAGCAGUACCAUAUGCAAAAGUCAUAAAUCUACCAGAAUCUCUGGAUCAACUUUUCGGCAUAGCUCGUAAGUAUCAUAUAAUUCAGAUGCAUGAUUAAGAAUUAACGUCCGGUAUAGGAGGGUUUAGCUUCUUAUAGCUUCUCAGCUAUUUUAGGGAUAGGGGCUUCACCUUGUCAGUGCAGAUGAGGUUGCUUAGGUUUCUCAUAGCCUAUCGCUAGAGUAUUCUGACUUGGAUUUUAUAUGAGAAUCGAAAGGAGUUGUAUAAUGCGGGAUCAUGACCAGAACAUGUCACACUGUUGGUUAGCAAACCACUGCAUUGUGAUAACCUAUGCUAACAUAACUUUACCACACUACAAACUUAACUUAUAACUGUUCAACUAAAGUUUAUGUUUGUUAACUACUCCUACACCUGAUUUUUUGUUUAACUGGUUACAGUACGUCAAGUGUUGCCCAUAUCCCCAAAGCAUCAGGCCCAGGCCCUAGCUAACUUUGAUUUUAAUAUACUAAGUCGAUGAAUCAAUGCCACACAGGGUUUGUAUUAACCCCAAAUAGCUAAAGCCAGAACCUUCUGGCAUCUGUCAUUUGUAGUUGGCAUCAUACAUGAAUAUUUUCCGGAUUCAGUUGUGCCCUGUUUUAGUUUUGGAAAUUUUCAGUUCCUUUGCUGCCCCCCUUAAAAAUGAAUGGUAAUUGUCCUAGCUCAGUGAUCAAGUCUGUUGAAAUCAACCAGUAAUUGUAGUACCAUAAUAGUAUGAAGGCCCCGUUACGACUCGCCUAAUGCCAGAAACCAGCAUUGCAUGCAGUCUAAUCAUGCAGUGCAAUCCUUCUUUUAGUGUGAAUGUACUUAUCCUGCAUUUUUUCUGUAGGUGAGAAGUUUCCGGGUUAUUGUCAUGUGAAGCUGUUCAAUCAAGAUUUUGCUGAAAUUGACGAUAUAACAGUAAUUCGAGAUGGUGACCAGUUGUUUCUUAUGGAAGUUUGAUUAAGGAUGCUCAAAACUAUAGACUGUGGAAAGAGCAAUGCAUAGGAUAUGAAGUAGGACUCUCAUUUGAGGAAGUUGCCUAGAUCUCAGCAAAUAGGAAUCGGGCGACUCGGUGAAAUCGUGAAGAAAAUGCCACACAGGAAUUAGUGGGAGACUUGGAGUUACAGUUGUAGAGUAGCUAAAUGUAGAUAUGAAGAUGUGAUGGAAACAGUUUUAAAUCUGUUCUGCAGAUCAAAUGUUUGGGGAGGGGAGACCUCCGCUGAAUUGAUCGCCCUAGGGAAGAAUAUCAUUUACAGGCAACAAAUAUUAGCAAUAUUGAACUUUUCACCAAGGAUGACUACUCAAAAAAAUUGAUGAUCGACAUAAAUUCUACUACCUCUGUACCGAAAUACUUGUAGUUGGGGGAACUUGUAUUAGUUUCCCCAACUACAAAUAUUUUGGUACAGAGGGAGUAGCUAACUGACUCUGACCUUUUAACUGUUAACCUGUGCGCUUUGAGACUGCAACUAUUUAGAUGAUAAUGAUCAAAUAUGGUCGAAUUCUUCAACAAAUUAGUACGAGUGAAAACUGGAAUUUCAUGUUGUGGCAACUGAUUACUACUUCAUUUUUCUCGGUAGAUAAUAAUAGCUCUGGGUGUUCAAAUUGGAAGUCAUUAGAUAUCACAUUCACAGCAGCUAGCUAGCUAUAUCAACUUUGCAAAACUGCUACUGUAUUUAAUCAGUGCACUAAGAAAACUAGUUUCAGCAUGACUAGCAGAUGCGGUGAGAGAUCAUUCAACGACCAAAUUUGAUGACUAUGCACAGUAAGUCACACAGAUCGAAAUUAGCUACUGUACUCCAACUCACCAAAUUCAUGAACUGAAGAUAAGAAGCCUGAAAGGUCAGCUCAUCAGAUAAAUUCCAUUUGAGGAAGAAGCGUACGCAACGGGACUUACACAAUCCGUUCGCCGCUGCGACUCCAGGACUAGGCCACCACUCAGCAGCACAAUGCGAUCCAAAGUUCCAGGCCCACCGGUCUCUCACGGCCAGUGCAGUGCAGUGCGUCGCGGUGUAGGAGGCUGGCGCCCGUAACGCGCGAUGGGAACGGGGAACGCCGGGAGCAGGCAGAGGCGCG